rnacentral:rRNA from 1 species
AGCGAACGCUGGCGGCAGGCCUAACACAUGCAAGUCGGACGAAGUCUUCGGACUUAGUGGCGGACGGGUGAGUAACACGUGGGAACGUGCCUUUAGGUUCGGAAUAACUCAGGGAAACUUGUGCUAAUACCGAAUGUGCCCUUCGGGGGAAAGAUUUAUCGCCUUUAGAGCGGCCCGCGUCUGAUUAGCUAGUUGGUGAGGUAAAGGCUCACCAAGGCGACGAUCAGUAGCUGGUCUGAGAGGAUGAUCAGCCACAUUGGGACUGAGACACGGCCCAAACUCCUACGGGAGGCAGCAGUGGGGAAUCUUGCGCAAUGGGCGAAAGCCUGACGCAGCUAUGCCGCGUGAAUGAUGAAGGUCUUAGGAUUGUAAAGUUCUUUCACCGGGGACGAUAAUGACGGUACCCGGAGAAGAAGCCCCGGCUAACUUCGUGCCAGCAGCCGCCGUAAGAC